ensembl:snoRNA SNORA74 Small nucleolar RNA SNORA74
CCCAGCAGUAGGCAAUGGCCUAGGUUGCCUUGUACCUAGGCAAGUAUUACACUGCUGGGAGGAAAGCAGCUAAUAGCUGGUGGGCAUU